GUGGAUUAGAUACCCUGGUAGUCCACGCUGUAAACGAUGAUUACUCGAUGUUGGCGAUACACUGUCAGCGUCUGAGCGAAAGCAAUAAGUAAUCCACCUGGGGAGUACGAUCGCAAGAUUGAAACUCAAAGGAAUUGACGGGGGCCCGCACAAGCGGAGGAGCAUGUGGUUUAAUUCGAUGAUACGCGAGGAACCUUACCUGGGCUCGAACGUGAGAUGACUGUAGGUGAAAGCUUACAUCUCUUCGGAGCAUUUUACGAGGUGCUGCACGGCUGUCGUCAGCU
rnacentral:rRNA from 1 species